UGGAGCAGCUUCUGGAGCAGACCAAGGCAUGGGAGCUUUGCCCAGUCCCUACACAGGUCACUGUGCAGGACACCAGUGUGGCAGGAGCAUGUCCCUGGCCCUGGGCCUGUCUUCAAGGACCAAAUAGUAAAAUUCCCAGGAGCAGGAUGCAAACCCAGUGAACUUCUGAAGACAUUUCCUCACACAGUGUCCUGGACCAAGAGUCACUUUGAACUUAAAAAAUUGAAGAACAAGUGGUUGAUGCAGCUAUUCGUCUCUCAUGUGGUCCAUGUAGCUUAUUUUCACUCCUUCUGGAUGUCCACCAGGAGAGAAUAUGGCUCAUGCCUUUUGUAAAGCUCUGAUGAUGUAAAAAAAGAUCAGUGAUGGUUUCAGCUGCACAUCCCUCUCCUGAGCAGGACUCGUGUGUUCUGGACAACCAUUGCUGUGCUCAGCAGCUAAGCCUGUGUACAGAGCUAAUCACAGAAAAAAGCUACACCAUCUCUUUGGGGAUAAUUGAAAAUGUGAGCUCUCUAUUUCCUGACCAUCCCAAAGCAGGUGAAGAUCAGGAUAUGCACUGAGAUGCUGAAAGGACAGGCCAUGUCACCAUUAGUCAUACUUCGGAAUGAUGGUUUACUUUCAUUAUUCACUGACUGCACUGCUUCCGAUUCAGCGCUCUCCAACUCAGCAAGAUUUUCCUGUGCUAAUUCAUCUGAAUCAUUUCUAGAAGAGUUUAUAUCAAAGGACACAUUCUCAAUGUUAAUAAAGUGCAGAGGUUUUGGAA